AGAGAAAGAGAGAGAGGAGAGGGAGAAAGAGAGAGGGGUGGACCCUGCUGGAUGGAGAUUCUGUUUUCUCCUUGCUAAAAUAGAAGUGAUUUGCAGGCUUUCCCUAUGGAAUCCAGUUUGACUCUCCCCAGAGCUAAACACAGGCACACUAACCCCAAAGGGAGGAGGCGGGGCUCGCGCCUCACGGCCCCGCCCCUUAAUUUGCAUAACGCCAUCCUUCCGCCAAGCUGCAGCCAAUCGCGGCUUACGAAGCCUUCUGGCUCGCCGCGCUGGGCCACGCUCCCUCAUUAACAUCCCUCUCCGGGUGGCGCAGGGGAGCUAGCCAAAGUUCCUCGCAAAGUGGCGAGCGAAGGAUCGCUGAGCACCAGCGUCUGUGCUGGGAAGGAGCUGGGCACAGCUGGGCAGAGCCGGGCUGGAGAGGGGAAACAGACGGAAGGGAAGGGCGAUAUUUUUCUCAGGGAUUUGAACUGGGGUCUGCAUCCUGGUCGUUGCGGUCCUUUUAGCAUCCUCGCCACGCCCUGAGCGCGCUCGCGGUUCACAGGCUGCGCCCUCCCAGGGCCGAUGCUGCGUCCUGCUCCGCUGUUCUGGGACGUCGGGGGCAAAAGUGGAGGAGACGGGAGAGCCCGGGCAGAAAAAGCAGGAAGCGCGUCCCAGAGGAGGAGCUGAGGUUUUGAUUUGCCCGUGGCGUGUGGCUAGCAAGCAGUGGGGCUUGACUGUAACCCAGGAGCCACACUGCCUAUGAAAUUAAGAAAGCUGUCUGCUACCUUACUUACUUCUGUCAACCAAUUCUUGGUUUCUCUCUUCUCUGGACACCCAAAAAAUAUUAUGACCCUCUCUUUGAAGUUAGUUUGGUCAUCUGACUUCAUUGAGCCAGAGCAUUUCCUUAAAGGAACAAAGAGGAAAGAGUGACUAGAAGACUCUAGUGCAGAGUUGGUCUGUGGAGAACUGCUGUAUGUCUUAUUCCUGGGCCAUUGCUAGACUGCAUUUCUCAACAUCCCUAGCAGCUGCUUUGGCUAUAUGACUGAGUUCUGGCAAAUGAAAAGUAGGUGGGAUUGAUGGAAGCCAUUUUCAGAUAUAGUUCAUAAAAACCUCCCACACAGUCUUGCACUCCUCUUCCUCCCCCUCUGCGGACUAAUCAGAAAAUCCAAGGUGGUAUUCCAAUGCUAGGGCAGGCUUAGCAAAGGUUUUCUGUCAAGAUCCUGAUAGGCAAUAUUUUACAAUUCAAGAGCCUGUUGCAACUACCUUAGUGUGAGAGCAGCUACAAAGCACAGGUGAUACAUGAUGAAUCGGUGUGGCUGUGUCUCAAUAAAACUUUAUUUACAAAGAAAAAAAUCAUAAAAACUCUAGAUCAAAUUUGGUCCAUGAGUCAUAGGUUGCUGACCCUGCUCUAGGAUAUGUCAGAAUCACAACAUAGAAGGAUUCUGGCCCCUAAAUGACUGCAUGGGGAAAUAAACUUUAUACAAGCAAGAAAUAAACUUCUCUUAUGUUAAGUCAUUGA